rnacentral:lncRNA from 1 species
AAGCUGUAUUUGUGAUUGGUCUCUGACUCUAUUGGCUUGAGUUGUACUUUUCAUUAUUUGGUUCUCCUUCCAGGCAACAAUGGCAGCAAGUCUGGCCAUUCUUUGUUAUUAAGAAAUAAGGAUAAACUGGACGUGGUGGCGCAUGACUGUAAUCCCAGCACUCAAGAGGCUGAGGCAGGAGGAUCCUUGUGAGUUUCAGGCUAGCCUUGGUUACAAACUGGGCUCAAGUCCAGCCUGAACUGCACAGCAAGACCCUGUCUCAAAAAGAUGAAAAAAAAAAAAAAAGAGAAAUAAGGAUAAAGGAAAAUAAUCUCUUUCCUGGCAAGGUUUGUGAACGGCCACUACUUCUGAUUUUGGAUGGGGUUGCUAUUGUUUGGAGAAAGAUUAUCAAAGUAAGGAAAAAGUUAUUUUUCUUUUCUUGUUAA